rnacentral:rRNA from 1 species
CCAAUAGCGUAUAUUAAAGUUGUUGCAGUUAAAAAGCUCGUAGUUGAAUUUCGAGAUCAAAUUGUUGGUCGUGCCUUGGUACGCACUGGCAUUAUUGGUUUCUCCCUUCUGACGAACCAUGAUGUCAUUAAUUUGGUGUCUUGGGGAAUCAGGACUGUUACUUUGAAAAAAUUAGAGUGUUUAAAGCAGGCUCACGCUUGAAUACAUUAGCAUGGAAUAAUGAAAUAGGACGUUUGAUUCUAUUUUGUUGGUUUCUAGGAUCGACGUAAUGAUUAAUAGGGAUAGUUGGGGGCAUUAGUAUUCAAUUGUCAGAGGUGAAAUUCUUGGAUUUAUUGAAGACUAACUACUGCGAAAGCAUUUGCCAAGGAUGUUUUCAUUAAUCAAGAACGAAAGUUAGGGGAUCGAAGACGAUCAGAUACCGUCGUAGUCUUAACCAUAAACUAUGCCGACUAGGGAUCGGAUGAUGUUAAUUUUUUAAUGACUCAUUCGGCGCCUUAUG